rnacentral:rRNA from 1 species
AUUGAACGCUGGCGGAAUGCUUUACACAUGCAAGUCGAGCGGCAGCGCGGGGCAACCUGGCGGCGAGCGGCGAACGGGUGAGUAAUGCAUCGGAACAUGUCCAAGUCGUGGGGGAUAGCCCGGCGAAAGCCGGAUUAGUACCGCAUAAGCCCGGGAGGGGAAAGCAGGGGACCGCAAGGCCUUGCGCGAUUGGGUUGGCCGAUGUCCGAUUAGCUAGUUGGUGAGGUAAAGGCUUACCAAGGCGAUGAUCGGUAGCUGGUCUGAGAGGAUGAUCAGCCACACUGGGACUGAGACACGGCCCAGACUCCUACGGGAGGCAGCAGUGGGGAAUUUUGGACAAUGGGGGCAACCCUGAUCCAGCCAUUCCGCGUGAGUGAAGAAGGCCUUCGGGUUGUAAAGCUCUUUUGUCCGGAGCGAAACGGUACGGGUGAAUAUCCCGUGCUACUGACGGUACCGGAAGAAUAAGCACCGGCUAACUACGUGCCAGCCGCCGCAGUAA